rnacentral:lncRNA from 1 species
UGCACCYGGGGGGCGCGGGGACCCCCACGCCGCGCUGCUGCCACGGGACCCCACGGGCGCCGCUCUGCCUCCCGCCAGCCCCGGUGCCCAGGAGGAAGAUCGUGCGGGUGAAAGUGGUGAAGAAGAAGGUGGUGAAGAAGAAGCCCAAGGCGACGGCCGCCCCGCCGGAGCCAGGGCCUCAACUCCAUCUGGACGUACGACUGGGUCACGUCCUACAAGGUGCAGGUCAGCAACGACUCCCACGCCUGGCAGCCCUGCCGCAACGGGAGCCGGGAGGCGGUCUUCCCGGGCAACAAGGACCCCGAGACGCCGGUGCUGAACCUGCUGCCCGCCCCGGUCGUGGCGCGCUACAUCCGCAUCAACCCCCAGAGCUGGUUCGAGAACGGCACCAUCUGCCUCCGCGCGGAGAUCCUGGGCUGCCCGGUGCCGGACCCCAACAACAUCUACUACUGGCCCAGCGAGCCGCUGCCCACGGACGAGCUGGACUUCCGCCACCACAACUACGACGACAUGAGGAAGCUGAUGCGGCGGGUGGCGGAGGAGUGUCCCGACAUCACCCGCGUCUACAGCAUCGGCCGCAGCUACCUGGGCCUCAAGAUGUACGUCAUGGAGAUCUCCGACCACCCCGGGCACCACGAAGUGGGUAGGUGCC